rnacentral:rRNA from 1 species
UACGUAGGGUGCAAGCGUUUAAUCGGAAUUACUGGGCGUAAAGCGUGCGCAGGCGGCUUUGCAAGACAGAUGUGAAAUCCCCGGGCUCAACCUGGGGAACUGCAUUUGUGACUGCAUGGCUAGAGUACGGUAGAGGGGGAUGGAAUUCCGCGUGUAGCAGUGAAAUGCGUAGAUAUGCGGAGGAACACCGAUGGCGAAGGCAAUCCCCUGGACCUGUACUGACGCUCAUGACACGAAAGGCGUGGGGAGCAAACAGG